GACCUUUUCAUUAAUCGCGGAGCACCCUAUAUAGGGUCUCGCCGGGUUUUACCCGGCUAUGGGGAUAAACGAAGGCGUGCAAUAGAUGCAGCGGACCCGGGGGCAGUACCCGGCGGCUCCACCAUAAAUGGUGGUGUAUCUGGACACCGUUUCUGACGGGGCCGAACCAGGAUCGACGUGUGUUGAAAAGCGCCAUCCAUCUCUCAGCGUGGGCCACUGUGACGGUCCAUCACACAAGUGCCAACGAUAACGAAGCACUCGCUAUUGCGGCCUAACCCUACGGCUUAACGGCCCAAGGUUAGACUAAAAUGCGCGGUCGGACCCCACCGGGCAACAGAAGGGGAUUCCAGCGGCACGGGGAGCGCCGGGCAACAGAAGCUCCCCACC
rnacentral:tmRNA from 1 species